GAUGAACGCUAGCGGCAGGCCUAACACAUGCAAGUCGAGGGGUAGAGGGUGCUUGCAUCCUUGAGACCGGCGCACGGGUGCGUAACGCGUAUGCAACCUGCCUUCCACAGGGGAAUAGCCCAGAGAAAUUUGGAUUAAUGCCCCAUGGCACAUCGAGACGGCAUCGUCUUGGUGUUAAAGUAACAACGGUGGAAGAUGGGCAUGCGUCCCAUUAGCUAGUUGGUAAGGUAACGGCUUACCAAGGCUAUGAUGGGUAGGGGUCCUGAGAGGGAGAUCCCCCACACUGGUACUGAGACACGGACCAGACUCCUACGGGAGGCAGCAGUGAGGAAUAUUGGUCAAUGGUCGCAAGACUGAACCAGCCAUGCCGCGUGCAGGAUGACGGUCCUAUGGAUUGUAAACUGCUUUUGUACGGGAAGAAACACUCCUACGUGUAGGG
rnacentral:rRNA from 1 species